UUUUUUUUCUUCUUCUUCUUCUUCUUCUUCUUUUCCUUUUUGCUUGUCCAUCAACACGUGAGUCAAGUGAAAACCCAAUCAUCAAGAUGGGACGCAAGAAAGGAGAAAAGAAAA
rnacentral:ribozyme from 1 species